GGGGGUAUAGCUCAAGGGUAGAGCAUCUGACUGCAGAUCAAGAGGUCCCUGGUUCAAAUCCGGGUGCCCCCU
rnacentral:tRNA from 1 species